GUUCUAUAGUCGGGGAGCCAAAUAUCAAGCUUAUUUUAGUUUGAUUGGGCUGAGAUCGCAGUGCGAGACCCGUUGAACCUGAUUCAGUUAAUACUGGCGUAGGGAACUAUCCACUUUGUCAU
rnacentral:ncRNA from 1 species